rnacentral:rRNA from 1 species
GACGAACGCUGGCGGCGUGCUUAACACAUGCCAGUCGAACGGAAAGACCCGGCUUUUGUUGGGUUCUCGAGUGGCGAACGGGUGAGUAACACAUGAGUAACCUGCCCUUGACUGUGUGAUAACUUCAGGAAACUGGGGCUAAUACCGGGUAUAAUCUCCUGCUGCGUGGGGGUGGUUGGAAAGUUUCGGCGGUUGGGUCUGGACUCGCGGCUUAUCAGCUUGUUGGGGUGGUAGUUGCUUACCACGGCUUUGACGGGUAGCCGGCCUGAGAGCGUGAACGGCGACCUUGGGCCUGAGAUACGGAGCAGUAUGCUAUGGGAGGCAGUAGUGGGGAAUAUUGCACAAUGGGCGGACGUCUGAUGUAGAAACGUUGCGUGCGGGAUGACGGCUUUCGGGUUGUAAACAGCUUUCGCAUGUGACGAAGAGUGAGUGACGGUAAUGGGUCAAGAAGCAACGGCUAACUACGUG